rnacentral:rRNA from 1 species
UACGUAGGGGGCUAGCGUUGUCCGGAAUUACUGGGCGUAAAGGGCUCGUAGGCGGUUUGUUGCGUCGGCUGUGAAAUCCCGAGGCUCAACCUCGGGUCUGCAGUCGAUACGAGCAAACUAGAGUGUUGCAGGGGAGACUGGAAUUCCUGGUGUAGCGGUGAAAUGCGCAGAUAUCAGGAGGAACACCGGUGGCGAAGGCGGGUCUCUGGGACGGUACUGACGCUGAGACGCGAAAGCGUGGGGAGCGAACAGG